CAAGAGCGUAUAUUAAAGUUGUUGCAGUUAAAAAGCUCGUAGUUGGAUUUCUGGUACAAUGCGCCUGGCCCGCGACCGUUAGGUCUGUGAGUGCCGGUGCGCGUUUGCCAUCCUUCUAGAAAACGUUUCUACCCUUCACUGGGCCGGACUCGCGAUCUAGAUCUUUUACUUUGAAAAAAUUAGAGUGUUUAAAGCAGGCUUUUGCUGUGAAUACAUUAGCAUGGAAUAAUAAUCUAGGACUUCGGUCCUAUUUUGUUGGUUUCUAGUACUGAAGUAAUGAUUGAUAGGGAUAGUUGGGGGUGCUAGUAUUGGCCGGCCAGAGGUGAAAUUCUUGGAUUCGGUCAAGACUAACUUAUGCGAAAGCAUUCACCAAGGAUGUCUUCUUUAA
rnacentral:rRNA from 1 species